UAUUCCUAUGGACUCUAAUGAAUCUAAACAUAUAUACAAUAUAGAUCAAUAAAUGAAUUUAGAUAUAGCUAAAAAAUCUUAAUACGAAACUUAGGUAGUAGUGAUUAUUACUGUGUGGUUUGAUAAGACAAUGGUUAUAAUGAAAUAGAAAGUUUCAAGCGUAUGAGUUGUUAGUUAUGUUGUUUGGAUGGUGGGUGUGAGAGUUUUGGGAGGGGGUUGACAGGAGAAAUUUAGAAGCAAAUUUCCACAUCUUCAAAACCUAGAGAGGGGUGAUAGUUUGAAAGGAAAUUAUCCUUUAAGUACAAGAGAAUAAAUCUGAGCCAUAUACCAUAAUUUAAAAUACAACUCGUCUUAAAACUCCCUCUUAUUCACAUACAUGUAUACUUCUAUCAAGAAACUAGAAGUAGAAAUGAAAAUCCAAUAUAUAAUCAAUCCUUCAAUUAACUCUUUCCUCUAAACGCCGGUCAGUCCCUUAGAGCAGGUGCAAUCACAUGCUAUAAACAUAUUUUAAAGAGAUAAAAAGGAGAGAGAAUAGAGUGGGUUAUUAAUUUAUAGUCAGGCUAUACAUGGG
rnacentral:lncRNA from 1 species